rnacentral:misc_RNA from 1 species
GCAAACUUGGUCAUUUAGAGGAAGUAAAAGUCGUAACAAGGUUUCCGUAGGUGAACCUGCGGAAGGAUCAUUAAUGAAAACACUCAGAAGUUGUUGCUGGCCUUCGGGCAUUGUGCACGCUUCGUUUUUCAUCCACCCCACACCUGUGCACUUUAUUUUUGAAAGGAGGAGUGAUCUUCCUUUCAAACAUUUUACACACUCUUGUAAAACUCAUAGAAUGUCAAUUGUUUGUAACAUAUAACAAACUUAACAACUUUCAACAACGGAUCUCUUGGCUCUCGCAUCGAUGAAGAACGCAGC